CUACGCUGCGAUAAGCCGUGGGGAGCUGCGAAGAAGCUUUGAUCCACGGAUUUCCGAAUGGGGAAACCCACCUUCGAUAGCCGGAACUCCAAGACCUUGUGUUUUGGGGUUCGACCAGAAAUGGAAGAAAUCAAACCGCGAGGUUUUGGAUUUCCGGUUAUCAAGAGAAGGUAUGAGACUUCCGAAUAAAAUAGGAGGUUUUAAGCAAACCCAGGGAACUGAAACAUCUAAGUACCUGGAGGAAAGGACAUCAAUCGAGACUCCGUUAGUAGUGGCGAGCGAACGCGGACCAGGCCAGUGAUACAUCAAAGACAAUCGGAACCAGUCAGGAAAGCUGGGCCUCAGAGGGUGAUAGCCCCGUACGAGUAAUGCGAUGAUGUAUCCACGAGUAAGGCGGGACACGUGUAAUCCUGUCUGAACACGGGGGGACCACCCUCCAAGCCUAAGUACUCCUCAGCGACCGAUAGU
rnacentral:rRNA from 6 species